GUCCCAGUCUCUUGAUAAGCUCUCCUGCUCAGUUUCUCUGUUGCACUAGGAAGUUAUUCAAGUAUUGAGUCUAGAUGUGGAGUUCUGAUUAGCCAUUCUCAUUCGUCUGCAUAAAAACAUAACCAUCAUACUACAGCAUGCUGUCUUCUUCCUCAUCACAUGAUGGCAUCAUUGCAGUAGCAAUCAUUCAAACAUUAAAACUUGGG
rnacentral:misc_RNA from 1 species